rnacentral:rRNA from 1 species
UACGUAGGGGGCGAGCGUUGUCCGGAAUUAUUGGGCGUAAAGAGCGUGUAGGCGGUUCGGUAAGUCUGCCGUGAAAACCUGGGGCUCAACCCCGGGCGUGCGGUGGAUACUGCCGGGCUAGAGGGUGGUAGAGGCGAGUGGAAUUCCCGGUGUAGCGGUGAAAUGCGCAGAUAUCGGGAGGAACACCAGUAGCGAAGGCGGCUCGCUAGGCCAUUCCUGACGCUGAGACGCGAAAGCUAGGGGAGCGAACGAGGA